GAAACACUGAAACAUGAAUAUGAACUGAACCAGACUGAUCUUCUAGUUCAUUUCAUGUGUCGACACAACAGUAAAUAUAAAAUACAAAGACAUAGAAGGACUAGACAGAAAUCAGAUGAUAUGAUCAGACAUAUAUACACAUGGUCCUCAUUCAAGCACUGGAAAAUCCCAUCAGUCCUUGAACACAUCAUCAGAUUCAUCAACACAUUCAUCCACUGUUUUAUACAAAUGCAUUUGUCGCAUCAUCCGA